UUUGAUUUGGAGCUAAGUAUGGCUGGAGAAGAGGAAGACCUUGGGACUCAGCUGUAAUGCAGUGUAAGCUAGCAGGACAUUAAUAUGGCGAGAGGAAGCUUUUUUUCGUUGAGAAGGAAAUUAAUUGAUGGAGUGUGUGGAAGCGGUGGACAAGUUUCAAGGCCUUGAAUCUCGUGGACAUCUUGUAAAGUAGAAAUGGCUCAUGGCUGGGAUGCUGAGGAUCCGGUCCCCCUGGAACUUCCCUCUUUCCCAUAUCAUCAACAACAGACUUACUGCUCAUCUCCGUCGGCGGCCAACUCGAGCUCUCAUCAACGGCGUCGAAUUCGAUCGCCCACUUGUCUUCAUUCUUAUGCAGAAAGGCGGGAACGGGCGAUCGGACCGAGCUAACUGUCGGCGAGAGAAGAAGCUCAAUGGCAAGCAGGUAGAGAAAUACAAGAGCUGUGCUCUUUUCCAUGGUUGACGCUUGUUUGAGU